rnacentral:rRNA from 1 species
CCUACGGGAGGCUGCAGUCGAGAAUCAUUCACAAUGGGGGAAACCCUGAUGGUGCGACGCCGCGUGGGGGAAUGAAGGUCUUCGGAUUGUAAACCCCUGUCAUGUGGGAGCAAAUUAAAAAGAUAGUACCACAAGAGGAAGAGACGGCUAACUCUGUGCCAGCAGCCGCGGUAAUACAGAGGUCUCAAGCGUUGUUCGGAAUCACUGGGCGUAAAGCGUGCGUAGGCUGUUUCGUAAGUCGUGUGUGAAAGGCGCGGGCUCAACCUGCGGACGGCACAUGAUACUGCGAGACUAGAGUAAGGGAGGGGGAACCGGAAUUCUCGGUGUAGCAGUGAAAUGCGUAGAUAUCGAGAGGAACACUCGUGGCGAAGGCGGGUUCCUGGACAUUAACUGACGCUGAGGCACGAAGGCCAGGGGAGCGAAAGGGAUUAGAUACCCCAGUAGUC